CCUACGGGUGGCUGCAGUGAGGAAUAUUGGUCAAUGGGCGCGAGCCUGAACCAGCCAAGUCGCGUGAAGGAUGACUGCCCUAUGGGUUGUAAACCUCUUUUAUACGGGAAUAAAGUGCGUUACGUGUACCGUGUUGCAUGUACCGUAUGAAUAAGCAUCGGCUAACUCCGUGCCAGCAGCCGCGGUAAUACGGAGGAUGCGAGCGUUAUCCGGAUUUAUUGGGUUUAAAGGGUGCGUAGGCGGGUUGUUAAGUCAGUGGUUAAAGUUUGUGGCUUAACCCCCAGAUUGCAAUUGAAACUGGCAGGCUUGAGUACAGUAGAGGUAGGCGGAAUGAGUGGGGUAGCGGUGAAAUGCUUAGAUAUCACGAAGAACUCCGAUAGCGAAGGCAGCUUACCAGACUGAGACUGACGCUGAAGCACGAAAGCGUGGGUAGCAAACAGGAUUAGAUACCCCAGUAGUC
rnacentral:rRNA from 1 species